AAGGAGAUACUGAUCUCCAUGUUGUGACCAUUUAUCUGCAUUUUAUUAUCACACAGUGCAGUUUGUGGCUUAUAGUUGGAGAACAUAUAUAAUUCAAGUCCCUCAAGUCUCCAGGUUGUCAAGUGACUUACAAAAUAUGUUAAAAACAAAACAAAUAUAUCAUGCUAUAAAACUAAAACAGUAAAACAACAACACCCCCAUGGAGCCACAGGAAGCUUUGGCAGCAUUAAUAACCAACAACACCAUCUCAGUCUAUCAAACGCCUGGGAAAAAGCAGGCGAACAAACGUGCACCUUUACUGCUAGCUGGAUAGAGAACACAACUGAAACUGAACAGCAGAGCAAAGGAAAGUCUAAGGGGUGGAGUCUCACUCUCGCCCAUAAUGCAAAGUUGUAAUAUUUAACUCUUCAUGAGUCAUGCUACUAUACUGCCUGGUUUUUUCAAGAUCACUUAACUAGUGAUUGUGGUCAUGAAGAAUCCAUCCUCAGUCAGGGAAAGUCUUGAGCAAGCAGACUUUGGGGGGCUCCUCCAGAAGAGGCUUUUGUUGUCCACUUGCCCUGCCUCAUUCACUGAAUUUUUCAGAGGAUCCUAUUCUUAAAUUGUUCCUGUUCUUAAAAGAAGCUAUCAUUUUUAAAGGGAGGUUGUCAUUGUCUGUCAUGUCACAAAUUUAAAAGACAAUUUCCCCAAAAAAUCUCCGGGAGGGGGGCAAGCACAGUUCUAGGGGGGUCAGUGCCCUAAUCCCCCCCGCUACAGGCCUGCUUACCAACCAUCAGAAAAACCAGCAACUGACCAUCUACAUUGUGUUACUCAUGAGGAGACCAGAUGCUUGCUUGUAACUAGGAAAUAGAUUUGAACU